AGAGUUUGAUCCUGGCUCAGGAUGAACGCUAGCGACAGGCUUAACACAUGCAAGUCGAGGGCAGGGAAGCUUGCUUUCGCUGACGACCGGCGCACGGGUGAGUAACGCGUAUAGAACCUACCUUUUACAGGGGAAUAGCCCAGAGAAAUUUGGAUUAAUGCCCCAUAGUAUUGUUGAAUGGCAUCAUUUAAUAAUUAAACAUUUAUGGGUAAAAGAUGGCUAUGCGUUCUAUUAGCUAGAUGGUAAGGUAACGGCUUACCAUGGCAACGAUAGAUAGGGGUCCUGAGAGGGAGAUCCCCCACACUGGUACUGAGACACGGACCAGACUCCUACGGGAGGCAGCAGUGAGGAAUAUUGGACAAUGGAGGCAACUCUGAUCCAGCCAUGCCGCGUGCAGGAAGACGGCCCUAUGGGUUGUAAACUGCUUUUAUACAGGAAGAAACCUCCCCACGUGUGGGGAGCUGACGGUACUGUAAGAAUAAGGACCGGCUAACUCCGUGCCAGCAGCCGCGGUAAUACGGAGGGUCCAAGCGUUAUCCGGAAUCAUUGGGUUUAAAGGGUCCGUAGGCGGACUAAUAAGUCAGAGGUGAAAUCCCACAGCUUAACUGUGGAACUGCCUUUGAUACUGUUAGUCUUGAGUUAUAUGGAAGUAGAUAGAAUGUGUAGUGUAGCGGUGAAAUGCAUAGAUAUUACACAGAAUACCGAUUGCGAAGGCAGUCUACUACGUAUAUACUGACGCUAAGGGACGAAAGCGUGGGGAGCGAACAGGAUUAGAUACCCUGGUAGUCCACGCCGUAAACGAUGGAUACUAGUUGUUGGAUUAUUUCAGUGACUAAGCGAAAGUGAUAAGUAUCCCACCUGGGGAGUACGGUCGCAAGACUGAAACUCAAAGGAAUUGACGGGGGCCCGCACAAGCACAAGCGGUGGAGCAUGUGGUUUAAUUCGAUGAUACGCGAGGAACCUUACCAGGGCUUAAAUGCAGAACGACAGAUUUGGAAACAAGUCCUUCUUCGGACGGACUGCAAGGUGCUGCAUGGUUGUCGUCAGCUCGUGCCGUGAGGUGUCAGGUUAAGUCCUAUAACGAGCGCAACCCCUACUGUUAGUUGCCAGCGAGUAAUGUCGGGGACUCUAGCGGGACUGCCGGCGUAAGCCGCGAGGAAGGUGGGGAUGACGUCAAAUCAUCACGGCCCUUACGUCCUGGGCUACACACGUGCUACAAUGGUGCGGACAAAGAGCAGCCACCUGGUGACAGGGAGCUAAUCUCUAAACCGCAUCUCAGUUCGGAUUGAAGUCUGCAACUCGACUUCAUGAAGCUGGAAUCGCUAGUAAUCGCGCAUCAGCCAUGGCGCGGUGAAUACGUUCCCGGGCCUUGUACACACCGCCCGUCAAACCAUGGAAGCUGGGGGUGCCUGAAGUCGGUAACCGCAAGGAGCCGCCUAGGGUAAAUCUGGUAACUAGGGUUAAGUCGUAACAAGGUAACC
rnacentral:rRNA from 1 species